CAGAACAAUAUCCCCUUUUGUCUAGGCCCCAUUUGAUUCAGAUUAGAGUCGGUGAUGAUGCACAAUGUUCACAUUCCGUACACAGUGCGUCAGCCUCAGCCAAUGACAAUGAUGCACGAAAAAGGAAGACUUCCUCAGUCACAGUUAAACAGUUUUAGUUUACUUUGUAGGUUAGUGCCAGCCACGAACGUCUCUUAAAGCAGAACAAUAAACAGCAUAAAGGGCAAUAGCAGAACUACAUACAUGUACAAAAUACCCACGUGGCUGAAAGUAAAUAACUAUAUCGUAGUGGGCAGUAAUCCAGUUGGUGCUAGGAUUAGUAGAUGACGUCAGUUGGGUAUCUUGCUUGUCGAGGCUUUACUUUCACUGGAGGUUGAGCGAAUCGGCACAAUAACUCAGUUGGAGUUAGACGUCGCUUGGUCUACACGAGUUCUAAUCAAACAUGUCUUCAUGCCUGGAGAUCCUGUACACCGCAUAUCUUCAAAGCCUGGCAGCAUAGGUUUCACCAUUGAUUCCAAGUUUUUCAACUGUAUUUGAGUAUUCCUGGCGACAGAUUACGACCUGCGCACAUUCGAAGCAUCAUGAAGGCAGCCAGCCUGACUUUGCUGUUGGUGGUAUGUUCACAUGAGGUCUGCAUGUCUGCUUCUACAAGGGGAGGGCAAUGGUGUUCGUACAAAACUCCACUAUUCUCUUGUGUUAAAAAGGGUCUCAGACAUGUUCCUCUAUUAAUUCCCCGACAAACAAAAGAAUUGCACCUUUCUAUCAACUACAUAGCGACUCUCUAUAAUGAUUCGUUUGGUGCUAUGGAUAACCUCCAAUUCUUGGAUGUAUCAAGGAAUCGUAUACGUG